GAUGAACGCUGGCGGCGUGCUUAACACAUGCAAGUCGAGCGAAGCACCUUGACGGAUUUCUUCGGAAUGAAGUUUUGGUGACUGAGCGGCGGACGGGUGAGUAACGCGUGGGUAACCUGCCUCAUACAGGGGGAUAACAGUUGGAAACGGCUGCUAAUACCGCAUAAGCGCACAGUACCGCAUGGUACGGUGUGAAAAACUCCGGUGGUAUGAGAUGGACCCGCGUCUGAUUAGGUAGUUGGUGGGGUAACGGCCUACCAAGCCGACGAUCAGUAGCCGACCUGAGAGGGUGACCGG
rnacentral:rRNA from 1 species